AAAACAGCAUCGGUUGCCGUCUUCUCCUUCCAUUCUCCUCUAUCCGUCCGCCCUUUUACUACCCUGCCCAUCGAAUUGGUUCGCUACCCUACCCGGCCGCGGCGUGACGUCCCAGCCAAACCAAACCCUAGCCCGCCUCCGGCGAUGUCGGCGCCGCCGUCGCCUCCGCGGGAGGGGGAGGAGGGCGUGCUCCCCCUCCCCGUGCCCGUGCCCGCCGCCGUGGCCGGCGACGACAAGGUCCUGGCCGCGGCGCAGCACAUCGUCAAGUCCCUCGCCACGUCCAAGAACGCAGCCGACGACAUGAUCCGCAUCCUCUCCGGGUUCGACCACCGCCUCUCCUUCAUCACCUCCGACCUCUUCCCGUCCCCGUCGCCCGGCCUCUCCGACGCGGCAGGCGGCGGCGGAGCGGAGGCCGAGAGGGAGGAGGAGCCGCCCUCGCUGGCCGCCUUCGACGCCGCGGAGCAGCUCAUCCACCUCUGGGACACCACCCCGGAGGUGCUCGUCUUCGAGGCCCCCGAGGACGACGCCGCGCACUACCUCGCAGCUGUCGACGUCGCCGUCGACCACCUCGCCGCCGGCGGGCUCGCCGUCUCGGGCCGCGCCGGUGUCGCGGUCCAGCUCGCCAUGGCGCGGCUCGAGGACGAGCUCCGCCACCUCAUGCUCCGCCACGCGGUGCCGCUCGACGCCAGCGGGCUCUACUGUUCGCUGCGCCGCCUCUCGCUGGGGUCCAUGGAUGACCUCGACACCUCCUCCGAGUUCGAUCCCGCCACCCCGCACAGCCAGGAGGGCGCGCCGGACACUGCCCGCAGCGCCAGCCUGGCGGGGAAUAACCCCUUCGACGACCAGGUGUUCGACCUGGUGCGGCCAGAUGCUGUGGAUGAGCUGCGCGCUAUCGCCGACCGGAUGGUGCGGGCAGGUUAUGCAAGUGAACUCGUGCAGGUGUACUGCGCCAUCCGGCGCGACCUGCUUGAUGAGUGCCUCGUGGUUCUUGGCGUUGAGCGGCUCAGCAUCGAUGAGGUGCAGCGCAUCGAGUGGAAGCAUCUGAAUGACAAGAUGAAGAAGUGGGUGCAUGGGGUCAAGACGGUUGUCAGGUGCCUGCUGACUGGUGAGCGUCGGCUCUGCGACCAGGUGCUUGCUGUGUCCAAUGAGCUCCGGGAUGAGUGCUUUGUUGAGUCCACCAAGGGUUGCAUCAUGCAGAUCCGUAACUUCGGGGAUGCUGUGGCUGUGUGCACUCGCUCGCCGGAGAAGCUUUCCCGAAUUCUUGACAUGUAUGAGGCACUUGCUGAGGUGAUCCCUGAACUGAAGGACCUGUUCUUUGGGAGUUAUGGGGAUGAUGUUAUCCAUGAUUUGGAGGGGGUUCUUGAAAGGCUUGGUGAUGCAGUGAAGGGUACUCUUCUUGAGUUUGGGAAGGUCCUACAGCAGGAGUCAUCACGGCGGCCGAUGAUGGCUGGUGAGAUCCAUCCAAUGACACGUUAUGUAAUGAACUAUCUCAGGUUGUUGGUUGUUUACAGUGACACACUUGACACACUUUUGGAUGACAAUGGUGCUGGAGAUGUAGAUCAUAAUUUUUUACAUAAUGGCACCGAUGAGGAUGGAGAGUAUCUGAAGAGCUUGACUCCACUUGGACGCCGUUUGGUUAAGCUGAUAUCUUACUUGGAGGUCAAUUUGGAGGAAAAAUCUAAACUUUAUGAGGAUGGUGCGCUGCAGUGCAUAUUUUCCAUGAAUAAUACACUCUAUAUUGUCCAAAAGGUGAAGGAUUCUGAGCUUGGGAGGAUUUUAGGUGAUCACUGGAUACGGAGACGCCGUGGGAAGAUCCGGCAAAAUUCGAAGAGCUACCUUCGGAAUUCGUGGACCAAAGUUUUGUCUUAUUUAAAGGAUGAUGGACAUGGCAGCGGCAGUGGAAGUGGCAGUGGGAGCUCAAGCUCUAAAAUCAAGGAAAAAUUUAAGAGCUUCAACUUGGCCUUUGAUGAGAUAUACAGGAGUCAAACACUCUGGAAGGUACCAGAUCCUCAGCUCAGAGAAGAGCUCAAGAUAUCUAUAUCUGAAAAUGUGAUCCCAGCAUAUCGUGCUUUUACGGGAAGAUAUGGUAGUCUAGUGGAUAGUGGAAGGAAUUUGGGAAAAUACGUAAAGUACACCCCAGAGGACUUGGAGAAUCAUCUAUCUGAUCUAUUCGAAGGGUCACUAGGGUCUGCCAAUCAUUCCAGGAGAAGGUCGUAAUUCCUUUUGAUGGUAUUUUGCUACAGACAAGAUUCUAAUGAAGUACUAAACUUACAUACCUCCCCUCGUGUCUAAAGGGGCAUGCACAACUUUAGGAUGAUUCUUGUUUUAUGAGGUGCAAGGGCAUUUCAUGAUUAAGACAUUAAGCAGCUCCCAUUUGAUCUUCUAAGAAUGCUUCCAUCAACAACUUCAUAGUGUGAUGUAGAUAGAAAAAGUGUGAAGAUGAGCUACCGACAAUGUUAAUGCUGUUACUGCAGGAGAACUCAUCGCCAGUUGCUUCAAAAAGAAGGGGAAAAAAAAAAGAAAACUUCUCCAGUUCACUGGACAGCUCCAAAAGUUUCUUAUGUAAGAUGAGUUGAAUGUAAAUCAGCAAGUUAGUGCCCAUCAGAUCGUAUCCUGUACGUACAUGUCACUCUAUAGUUACUUUUCUAGUUGUUUUCUUCAACAUAAUGGUGAUUAUCGACUUGUACCGGCCCCAGUAAGGACAUUCUUGAUUUAAUUGAUAGCUUCUUGUUUCUGA